rnacentral:rRNA from 1 species
AGUCGAGGGGCAGCAUGGUCUUAGCUUGCUAAGGCUGAUGGCGACCGGCGCACGGGUGAGUAACACGUAUCCAACCUGCCGUCUACUCUUGGCCAGCCUUCUGAAAGGAAGAUUAAUCCAGGAUGGGAUCAUGAGUUCACAUGUCCGCAUGAUUAAAGGUAUUUUCCGGUAGACGAUGGGGAUGCGUUCCAUUAGAUAGUAGGCGGGGUAACGGCCCACCUAGUCAACGAUGGAUAGGGGUUCUGAGAGGAAGGUCCCCCACAUUGGAACUGAGACACGGUCCAAACUCCUACGGGAGGCAGCAGUGAGGAAUAUUGGUCAAUGGGCGAUGGCCUGAACCAGCCAAGUAGCGUGAAGGAUGACUGCCCUAUGGGUUGUAAACUUCUUUUAUAAAGGAAUAAAGUCGGGUAUGCAUACCCGUUUGCAUGUACUUUAUGAAUAAGGAUCGGCUAACUCCGUGCCAGCAGCCGCGGUAAUACGGAGGAUCCGAGCGUUAUCCGGAUUUAUUGGGUUUAAAGGGAGCGUAGAUGGAUGUUUAAGUCAGUUGUGAAAGUUUGCGGCUCAACCGUAAAAUUGCAGUUGAUACUGGAUGUCUUGAGUGCAGUUGAGGCAGGCGGAAUUCGUGGUGUAGCGGUGAAAUGCUUAGAUAUCACGAAGAACUCCGAUUGCGAAGGCAGCCUGCUAAGCUGCAACUGACAUUGAGGCUCGAAAGUGUGGGUAUCAAACAGG